rnacentral:rRNA from 1 species
GAUGAACGCUGACAGAAUGCUUAACACAUGCAAGUCGACUUGAACUUCGGUUUGGGUGGCGGACGGGCGAGUAACGCGUAAAGAACUUGCCUCACAGCUAGGGACAACAUUUGGAAACGAAUGCUAAUACCUGAUAUUAUGAUUAUAUGGCAUCGUAUAAUUAUGAAAGCUAUAUGCGCUGUGAGAGAGCUUUGCGUCCCAUUAGCUAGUUGGAGAGGUAACAGAUCACCAAGGCGAUGAUGGGUAGCCGGCCUGAGAGGGUGAUCGGCCACAAGGGGACUGGGACACGGCCCUUACUCCUACGGGAGGCAGCAGUGGGGAAUAUUGGACAGUGGACCGAGAGUCUGAUCCAGCAAUUCUGUGUGCACGAUGAAGUUUUUCGGAAUGUAAAGUGCUUUCAGUUGGGAAGAAAAAAAUGACGGUACCAACAGAAGAAGUGACGGCUAAAUACGUG